AACGAACGCUGGCGGCGUGCCUAACACAUGCAAGUCGAACGAGAAAGGGGCUUCGGCUCCGAGUAAAGUGGCGCACGGGUGAGUAACACGUAGGUAACCUGCUCUAAGAUUGGGAUAACUUGUCGAAAGACGAGCUAAUACCAAAUGAGACCACGGUCUCCUCGGAGACAGAGGUCAAAGGUAGCCUCUAUUUAUAAGCUAUCGCUGAGAGAUGGGCCUGCGUACCANAGUCUAGUUGGUGAGGUAACGGCUCACCAAGG
rnacentral:rRNA from 1 species